rnacentral:rRNA from 1 species
GACGAACGCUGGCGGCGUGCUUAACACAUGCAAGUCACGGGGGCUCGCAAGAGCAACCGGCGAACGGGUGCGUAACACGUGAGCAACCUGCCGAUCUGAGGGGGAUAGCCGGCCCAACGGCCGGGUAAUACCGCAUACGUUCUUUGAGGGGAGUCCCUUAGAGAAGAAACCUCCGGGGCAGAUCGAGGGGCUCGCGGCCUAUCAGCUAGUUGGCGGUGUAACGGACCACCAAGGCAACGACGGGUAGCUGGUCUGAGAGGAUGGCCAGCCACAUUGGGACUGAGAGACGGCCCAGACUCCUACGGGAGGCAGCAGUGGGAAUCUUGCGCAAUGGCCGAAAGGCUGACGCA